AUUGAACGCUGGCGGCAGGCCUAACACAUGCAAGUCGAACGAGUGGCGGACGGGUGUGUAAUGUCUGGGAAACUGCCCGAUGGAGGGGGAUAACUACUGGAAACGGUAGCUAAUACCACAUACCAUCGGAUGUGCCCAGAUGGGAUUAGCUAGUGGGUGGGGUAACGGCGCACCUAGGCGACGAUCCCUAGCUGGUCGGAGAGGAUGACCAGCCACACUGGACUGGAGACACGGCCAAGACUCCUACGGGGGGAAGCAGGGGGGAAUAUUGCACAAUGGGCGCAAGCCUGAUGCAGCCAUGCGGCGUGUAUGAAGAAGGCCUUCGGGUUGUAAAGUACUUUCAGCGAGGAGGCGUUACUCGCAGAAGAAGCACCGGCUAACUCCGUGCCAGCAGCCGCGGUAAUUC
rnacentral:rRNA from 1 species